UGCCAGCGUCACCAUCCUGUUUUCUGGUACUCUGUUUAACCAUGUGGCCCUAACCCACGAGGUGGACAAAACCAUCGCCAUCAAAUCUGGUUGUGUUAGUGUCUCUCCUGCUCCAGCUGAUGCUCCGGGUUUCACUUUAUUAGUCACGAAGCACAUUCCUUGUAUGCAGUGAGAGAAGACAGAAAGAUGGAAAGUAGUUGCACACAGGCACUUCACUGGGACUUUCACCAUGAAGAGAGCUUUAAUGAUUUCAGGAGCUGAGAGAUAAUGAGAAUGGACUGAGGAAAUAAUGUAUUUGAGGCAGAUGAUGAUCUCCUGCUGCCACGUAACAGCCAAAGCACUUAUUGUCAGAGUAGGAGCCACUGAUUCUCCGGUAGUGCACUGUUAUGAUAUUAUUACAAAUGACUGAGAUGAUUCCAUCUGAUAAGUAUGGGUAUACCAGUAACAGUUACCCUGUGUCUUAUCUCUUUUUUUCAUUCUGUUCAUUCUCAAAAAUACUGUGCUUUUCCCCCCCUGUAACAGUAUUGGUUCCCCACAAACAAAUUUGACCUUAAAAUCUGCAUGUAUUGGGUAUCUCUCUUGUCAGUCUUGAAGGUGGCCCAAGAAUAUGGUUAUUUGUGCACAGUGACUGUAUAAACCAAAAAAUAAAUACUGGGUAAAAAUGC